UGAGUACGAGAUGCUACGGCGUCGAAGCAGUCUAGGUCAUACUUCCAAGAAAAGCUUGCACUGUCAUAAACAAAGAAUGCCUGUACCAUAACCGACACAGGUGGGUAGGUAGAGUAUACUAAGGGGCGCGAGAUAACUCUCUCUAAGGAACUCGGCAAAAUGACUCCGUAACUUCGGGAGAAGGAGUGCCUUAUUUUUAAGGUUGCAAUAACAAGAUCCAAGCAACUGUUUACCAAAAACACAGGUCUCCGCUAAGUCGUAAGACGAUGUAUGGGGGCUGACGCCAGCCCAGUGCCAGAAGGUUAAAGAAGUUGGUUAGCAUUUGCGAAGCUGAUAACUGAAGCCCUGGUGAACGGCGGCCGUAACGAUAACGGUCCUAAGGUAGCGAAAUUCCUUGUCGGGUAAGUUCCGACCCGCACGGAAGGCGUAAUGAUUUGGAUACUGUCUCGGAGAGGGGCUCGGUGAAAUAGACUUGUCUGUGAAGAUGCGGACUACCUGCACCUGGACAGAAAGACCCUAUGAAGCUUUACUGUAACUUGAGAUUGAAAUUGGACUUUAUUUGCGCAGUAUAGGUGGGAGGCGUUGAGAAUAAUCUUACGGGAUUAUCGGAGCCAUCAGUGAGAUACCACUCUUGUAAUGUUAGAUUUCUAACUUUGUAUCAUUAUCUGGUCAAAGAACGGUUUCAGGCGGGCAGUUUGACUGGGGCGGUCGCCUUCCCAAAGGGUAACGGAGGCGCACAAAGGUUUCCUCUGAACGGGUAGAAAUCGUAUCUAGAGUGUAAAGGCAUAAGGAAGCUUGACUGUGAGACCUACAGGUCGAGCAGGGACGAAAGUCGGUCUUAGUGAUCUGACGGUGCUGAGUGGAAAGGCCGUCACUCAACGGAUAAAAGUUACUCUAGGAUAACAGGCUGAUCUCCCCCAAGAGUUCACAUCGACGGGGAGGUUUGGCACCUCGAUGUCGGCUCAUCGCAUCCUGGGGCGGUAGUACGUCCCAAGGGUUGGGCUGUUCGCCCAUGAAAGCGGUACGCGAGCUGGGUUCAGAACGUCGCGAGACAGUUCGGUCCAUAUCCGGUGUAGGCGUUAGAAUAUUGAAAGGAGCCUUCUCUAGUACGAGAGGACCGAGAAGGACAUACCUCUGGUGUGCCAGUUAUCGUGCCAACGGUAAACGCUGGGUAGCUAUGUAUGGAGUGGAUAACCGCUGAAAGCAUCUAAGUGGGAAGCCCACCUUAAGAUAAGUAUUCUC
rnacentral:rRNA from 1 species